GACGAACGCUGGCGGCGUGCUUAACACAUGCAAGUCGAACGGAAAGGCCCUGCUUUUGUGGGGUGCUCGAGUGGCGAACGGGUGAGUAACACGUGAGUAACCUGCCCUUGACUUUGUGAUAACUUCAGGAAACUGGGGCUAAUACCGGAUAGGAGCUCCUGCUGCAUGGGGGGGGUUGGAAAGUUUCGGCGGUUGUGGAUGGACUCGCGGGUUAUCAGCUUGUUGGUGGGGUAGUGGCUUACCAAGGCUUUGACGGGUAGCCGGCCUGGGAGGGGGACCGGCCACCUUGGGACUGAGAUACGGACCAGACGCCUACGGGACGCAGCGGGGGGGAAUAUUGCACAAUGGGCGGAAGCCUGAUGCAGCAACGCCGCGUGCGGGAUGACGGCCUUCGGGUGGUAAACCGCUUUCGCCGGUGACGAAGCGUGAGUGACGGUAAUGGGUAAAGAAGCACCGGCUAACUACGUG
rnacentral:rRNA from 1 species